rnacentral:rRNA from 1 species
CGCUCUUCGUAAAGGAUCCUGAUAUAUGAGGAGUCCUGCCUGCCCAGUGACUUUCAGUUAAACGGCCGCGGUAUUUUGACCGUGCAAAGGUAGCAUAAUCAUUUGCCUCUUAAAUAGAGGCUGGUAUGAAUGGCAAGACGGGGGUUUGACUGUCUCUCUCUUAAGGAGUAAUUGAAUUUAAUAUCUUUGUGAAGAAGCAAAGAUUAGGUCGUAGGACGAGAAGACCCUGUCGAGCUUAAGUAAUGGCAGUAGGUGCUGGAAGUAUUGUUAUACUAAUUUUCACUUUAAUUAGGGUGGUUGUUUUUAUGUANGGUAUGA